rnacentral:misc_RNA from 1 species
UAAAAUUCACUCUAACAUUACGCAAAUUGCUAUAACUGCUGUUUAUGACUGAAGAAACUAAUUCUCUUCUUGUUCACAUACCAAUUCAGAAGAAAAAUGCUUCUUCAAACAACCACCUUCUCAUCUCUUCCUCCACAAAGCCGCCACCACCAUCACCACUUCCUUUCUCAAUCUCCUGCUUUUGCUCUUCUCCCACUUGGGUCUCUUAAGUUCAGGUCCUAUAGCCAUUUUUCUCAGGUCCUUUUUCAGCGCUGUAGUUCACCAGACUUGACAACGUUUAGACCAGGCCAUGGGUUGAAUGUCAGAAAAUAUCUCAAUUUACUGAUACAUCAAAAGGAAUUGGCAAUUGGAUCCUAUGACUCAACAAGAUCUGAAAAUUUCUCGAGGCACCUUUCAAAUAUCAAGGACAAUGUGCACUUGAAA